UAUACUCACAGACAUUAUGUUAACAGUUUUAGAAACUUUAAAGUGUUUCCCAUCCAAAUCUACCAAAUAUCUACAUAUCCGAGCUUCUGGGCCUGAGUAACAGGCAGUUUAAUUUGGGCACGCUUUUCAUUCGGAUGUGAAGAUACUGCCCCCUACCCAAGAGAGGUUGAUAUUACUGAGACUGAAGCCCUCUCUACUGUAUUAAUAUUACUGAGACUGAAGCCCUCUACUGUAUUAAUAUUACUGAGACUGAAGCCCUCUCUACUGUAUUAAUAUUACUGAGACUGAAGCCCUCUACUGUAUUAAUAUUACUGAGACUGAAGCCCUCUCUACUGUAUUAAUAUUACUGAGUUUCGUCCUAUUUCCUAUGUAGUGGGUAAGGGUAGUGCACUAUGUUGGGAAUAGGGUGCUGGUCUUAGGUAGUGCACUAUGUUGGGAAUAGGGUGCUGGUCUUAGGUAGUGCACUAUGUUGGGAAUAGGGUGCUGGUCUUAGGUAGUGCACUAUGUUGGGAAUAGGGUGCUGGUCUUAGGUAGUGCACUAUGUUGGGAAUAGGGUGCUGGUCUUAGGUAGUGCACUACGUAGGGAAUAGGGUGCUGGUCUUAGGUAGUGCACUACGUAUGGAAUAUGGUGCUGGUCUUAGGUAGUGCACUACGUAGGGAAUAGGGUGCUGGUCUUAGGUAGUGCACUAUGUUGGGAAUAGGGUGCUGGUCUUAGGUAGUGCACUAUGUUGGGAAUAGGGUGCUGGUCUUAGGUAGUGCACUACGUAGGGAAUAGGGUGCUGGUCUUAGGUAGUGCACUACGUAUGGAAUAGGGUGCUGGUCUUAGGUAGUGCACUACGUAGGGAAUAGGGUGCUGGUCUUAGGUAGUGCACUACGUAGGGAAUAAGGUGCUGGUCUUAGGUAGUGCACUACGUAGGGAAUAAGGUGCUGGUCUUAGGUAGUGCACUACGUAGGGAAUAGGGUGCUGGUCUUAGGUAGUGCACUACGUAGGGAAUAAGGUGCUGGUCUUAGGUAGUGCACUACGUAGGGAAUAGGGUGCUGGUCUUAGGUAGUGCACUACGUAGGGAAUAAGGUGCUGGUCUUAGGUAGUGCACUACGUAGGGAAUAAGGUGCUGGUCUUAGGUAGUGCACUACGUAGGGAAUAAGGUGCUGGUCUUAGGUAGUGCACUACGUAGGGAAUAAGGUGCUGGUCUUAGGUAGUGCACUACGUAGGGAAUAGGGUGCCAUUUGGGACACAUUUUGAACCCCUGAGUGUUUUUUGACUACAAGCCUGAAGUUUGUUUUCUCAGCGAGAUGAUCUGACGGGAUGUUGUGUCUGACUGUGGAAGGAAAACAUUCUUCAUGUAGAGGAAAAACAACAAACGUAUAUUUCAGUGCUGGUUUUGAAGAUGUGACUCAAGCCCUCUGCUUUUAUUUAACAUUACUACAGAGAUGUCAUAACUUUCAUGUGUAAAUUUGCCGCCAGCAACAGGCUUUUGAAGAGCUUGUCUGAUGUCCCCUUCUCUUUGAUAUCAGUACUGGUGGUACACGGGGCCAGCUAACAGCAUGGAAGCAUCUCAA